rnacentral:rRNA from 1 species
GAUGAACGCUGGCGGCGUGCCUAAUACAUGCAAGUCGAGCGAACAGAUGAGGAGCUUGCUCCUCUGACGUUAGCGGCGGACGGGUGAGUAACACGUGGAUAACCUACCUAUAAGACUGGGAUAACUUCGGGAAACCGGAGCUAAUACCGGAUAAUAUAUUGAACCGCAUGGUUCAAUAGUGAAAGACGGUUUUGCUGUCACUUAUAGAUGGAUCCGCGCCGCAUUAGCUAGUUGGUAAGGUAACGGCUUACCAAGGCGACGAUGCGUAGCCGACCCGAGAGGGUGAUCGGCCACACUGGAACUGAGACACGGUCCAGACUCCUACGGGAGGCAGCAGUAGGGAAUCUUCCGCAAUGGGCGAAAGCCUGACGGAGCAACGCCGCGUGAGUGAUGAAGGUCUUCGGAUCGUAAAACUCUGUUAUUAGGGAAGAACAAAUGUGUAAGUAACUAUGCACGUCUUGACGGUACCUAAUCAGAAAGCCACGGCUAACUACGUG